GGAGAGGAGAGGGCGGCUGCCACAGCGCCGCCUGCAGGGCUGGAGGGGAUAGUGCCUGUGCUGCCUUUCCAAAGACUAAGGAGCUCUGUGACCUGGUACCCAAGUCACAGUCGUGGUGAUGACAAGGCGCAGCUGUCACACUCAAAGCCUAAUCAAGGAGUUGGGGAGACAUAACGGACGCGCAACCAAAAACUUUCUGUGGUAGACUUUUGUAUCGGGUCAGUGGAACAAAAAGGAGCAAGGCUCCCAGAGAAAAGCUUGGCCAGGAAUUUCCAAUCCAGUGUUACUUAUUGAGCUCCUGGGUGCCUCUUCCUGGGUCUGCCAACCAAGUGGAUGAGCUUCAGAGAGUCCAGAGAAGCACACGAGAUGUUUACACGCUAAUAAGAGAGCACAGCCAGGUCCAUCGCUCAGAAUCCCUGUCCUGCUGCCUCAAGAUCGUAUUGGGACUGGGGCAGGGCAACAAGGGCAGGCAGUGCAAGAGCCUGCCGGGCAUCCAAGCCCAGGUGCUGGGACGCAGCCUGGGAGUCGACUCAGCCCCACCUCUAAGACACCCGGUGCACCUCUGAGGUCCUGGAGGUGGCCUCCAGCUCUCCUGUGCCCUGCCUCAAGGAUGCUGAUGUUUUUGUGAUUUGAACCACUAAUAAUCCAUUAAGUGAAACAGAUUUCAAACAGAACAAACACACCCCAAAAACAACAGGAGAAAAGCCUUGGGGUGUUUGGGUUUGUCUUGUUUGGGAGGGGAGAGGGAUAUAGGUGUUGGUGCUUUCCCAAGGGUGUUGAGCACAAAGAGUGCCCUGACUGAACCUCGGACACCAGCAAAGCCACCCUUAGGGCCACCUCCUUUGGUACAAGCUGCCGGUGCUGGAGACCAGAGGUCGAAGGCAAAGCACUGAGAUUCCCGAGGCUCAGCCCGUAGGUUUCAUCUGCAUCUUAUUAAAAUGAAAUUCAAAUCCCAGUAGCUGGAAGAAAAGGUCGGGAUUUGACCCAGUCGGUGACCUCCCCCUGUUCCUCCCUCUUCUUCCCUGGCCCAGGUCCCAUCAGAGCCGGGCUCCAAUUUCCCCUCUCCCUGGGUAGCCCCGCACUGCUCAGAAACUCCACAGAAUGGCUCCAUUGUAGGCCACACAAACCAAAAUAGCCGCAUUUCUGUCCUCUGCCUUAGGGAGCAUCACUUAAAACCCCAAAGUCCCAGAUGUGGACGACAAUGGAAGUUGUUGUUGCAAAUUAACUAUCCUGAAAGUGGUGAGAGGCAGGUAGUCGGAAAGCAGCCAGUGGGGUGGGCUGGGCUGUGGGAGAGGGAACAAUUACAUAGUCACUCCAUUAACCCAAUUAGCAAACUCUGGCAGGGAUUCCCUCGUCAACAAAGCAGCAUGGUAAGGAAGGUGGGAACCGGGACAGGGUGGGGGUACUCUUGGAAUGAAGGGGCUAAGAGUAAAACUUCAGUUACCUCUCCCGCUGACGAAUGCUAUUUCUAUCAAAUGGUAAAUGUUCUGGGUUCUUUUUUUAAACCAUGCCCCAGAGCACUGGAUGAACAGUGUUCGCUUUAAUUAAUGAAUCAGAUGACAUCUCCACUCAGCAGCAGGCUCCGCUCAGCUGUGGAAACCCUCUGGGUGGCCUAGAGAACGGGGACUGUGGAGUCCUGAUUGCACACAGCUGUCAGCUCAUUGGUCAUCCAGUCCAAAAGGUCAGGGGACCCCUCCCCAGCAUCCUCCUGGUUGCAAGAGCUUUCUUAGGUUUCGAGAAGGGGACCAGCAUCGAAGAGUGUGACCGUAGUAAUGUUUCUUCUGAGUCCUUUUGUACAGGCUGUGCCAAGGAGCUGGAAUUUAGAGGGAAGGACAAUGUACGUCGUAUGAAAUGGUCAAUCAGGCUUUCUGAUCCAAGCAGGGCAGAUAGUUACCGAUCAUGUACCCUGUACCAGAUGCCAUGCUUAGGGUCAAAGAAGGAUCAAAACAAAAGCAUCCUUGCCUCCGAGGGACUUGCUGAAGCCUGAAGAGCAGGUGCUUGCACGGAAGCAUAAGUGGAGGGAAGUACAGUGACAAGGGGCCUAGGUCCAGCCGCCACGCCUGCAGAGCUCGAUUCCUCUGCUGCAUACAGGUGACAGUCCCUUGGACCAAGCUCCCAAGCACCAAGCACCUCAGUCUCCUCACGAAGAGUAGCAAUAAUGCUGAUACCUACCUUGGUGUGUUAUGAGGAACACAGUAGUUAAGGGAUUCAAAAUGCUUAGAACCAAGUCCAUGAACAAUGAGACUGGACAUACUUGAGACGUUUGAGACGCUGCGGCAUAACAGGACAAACUGGGGAAAGGACUGAAGAGGAAGAGACCCCAUACUCAUCCCAGGACUCUGGGAUUCUGAAGAUAGCCAGGAAGCUGUAUUUGAGUCUCGGGUCGGCUGCAAUGUAUUUACUUGGGUUUUGAAUACUCAUGACCCUGCUUUGCUCCUCUGUAGAGAUGGUGGAGUUUCCCCACCCCAGCCUCCCUGGGAGAAAGGGGAGAAAAUGAGUGUUUACAUCUCCUUUGUACCCGACACAGUUUUACUGUGAGAACUGAAAGAAAGAACGUGAGAUGUAUUUGAAAAAUUAAAAAUUUGUAAACUAUAAA